GCAGUUACAACCAUUUCAUACAAAUUAUAUCAUUCUUUUUGCAUUCAUUUUGCACCACUUUUCUCAACGUUCAGGCUUCUUCUAAUUCUCCACAACUCUUACUACUUCAAAGAUGCUUCCUUUUUUUGGUUUGAUCAAGGAUUUGGAGUUGGAAAAUAGCAAAAUAGCAUUACAACUAAGGUUGCUUUGUAGCUAUGACAUUCCAUAUUAUAACAACAAGAAUGAAGUUUUCAGCCACGAGUGCAUUAUUCAUGACAAAGAGGAUAAUCGAAUCCAUGCAACAAUUCCACAAAAUGCACUAUCAACAAUGAAGCCCAAACUUCAACAAAGGAAAUGUGUAUGCAAUGAUGAAUUUUAUUGGUGUCCAUGACAGAAGAAACAGAAGGCCGGAGCGUGAAUGCUUUUCUAAUUUUAUUGUAUUAUGAUCCUAAAUGAUUUUCUAAUUUUGUUGUAUUCUGAUCCUAGGCUUUGCGUUACCUAUCAGACUUGUAUUUUACAUCUAUCUUAUGUGAAAAUACUUGAUUUGCUCGAAUUUGGUCUUAUAUUCUCUCAAAGGUUUUGUUAGGAAAUGGGGAAUUAUGUAGAAGUAAAUUUGUUUUCGAACCUUUCUCAACCAAGAGAAACCGGAGGAGAUCAGUCAGCAUAUCUACGACUUCAUUAAGAGGUUUUGUUCUCUUUCUAUAUUCUGAGGCCAUAUUUAGUUGUGUUGUUGCUCACUAAUGUAGCUGUAAGCUAGGAUGUUGUUGUUGUUUCAGGCUUGAAGUUGCAUUUCAAAUCAACACUUUUAUCAAACAAUGUUUAUGUACCAAUAAUGAUUUACGUCUUUGUUGGUAUAGUUUGUUGCUUUUCUUGAAAAUAAACUCACACAUGUAUAGACUGCUGUUAGAAGUAGCCUCUACUGAAU